ACUAGCGUAUGACAUCAGAGUACCGCGAGAGCAGUGCUUUUAAAACUCUCCAUCGAAUCGCUAUCGCGGUACUUACAAAUGUUAUUAGCCGAUCGGUCUACGCAGCGCCGUAUGAGGUCAAGCUGCAUUUUUAAGCGCGGGAACGGUAACGUUAAGCGCUCACCUCAUUACCGGGUUUAUUAAUGAAUGUCAACUCUUUAAACAAAUAACGUUGCCUUUUACAACUCGACCGCUCUCUACUGGUAAAAUAUGAUGUAACGAAGGCGUCAAACAAUAUAAAAGUGACUAACGUUAGUCAUCUAUAACCUAGUUUGUCACCGCAUUUUUGACAGCGGACAUGAUUACAGAUACUUUCUAUGAAGUCAGAUCACUGUUGAGAUACUGCCAACGAAGGGGCUCAAAAAAGUCACAGUUUAAACCGCUGUUAAGGUCUUUAGGAUGAUAUAAACACGGAUCAACCACACGCACCAAGAAUAAGGCCAAGGACCACUUAAUGGAUAGAGAAGAGGAGCAGGGACCCACAGGAUCCAGCCCAUAGAGACAAAAUGCAACAAUGCAGAUAAACUGCUUCCAAUCAUUCUUCACUACCAAGGAUGGGAGUGAUGUCAGGUGGAUUGGUGUCAGGAAGAUUUGGAGAGGCUUUAAUUUAAAAAGGAGAUUUGGAGAAGAGCUUGAUGCUGGCAGGAGCCGAGCUGGACGAGGAGCGGAAGAUACCACUGAAACUGAGCCGGCGGGGAGAUUUGGGAGGGCUGCCAGAGCGUGUUGCAUCGAUAACCUGCUCGGUGUUGAUGCGGAACAUGUAAACUGGACGGUUCUGUGGGAGAAAUCCACCCAGAUUUAGACAAAUGUAUCUGGACAGUGUAUCAAGCGAGGGCCUGGUCUCUCUCCACUCUUGGGGACCCUCUUAUUCCUCUGCUUUUUCUUGUCCUCCGAAAGUAACUGUCCAGGAAAAUCAGGGUGGUUUGAAUCAGAAAAUGUCUGUGGGAAGAAAAAGCGAAUCCAUGAAGCCAUGAAUGACUGCUACUGUAUAUGUGCUUUACCUGCUCCAGCUGUUUCUGCACCACUCCCUGCUGCUCUGUCAAAUGCUUCAGCUGCUCUGCAUCCUCUUCAGGGAACUCGCGUCCUGCUUUCUUGGCAGUCCUCUGUUUGGCUGACAGGGCCUUCUUUGACUUCCUGUGGGCCCCGAUCUGCUCUUCCAGGAACUUCUGCUGCAUCUGAAGCAGCUGCUGAGUUUCCCUGAGCCAAUCCUCAUACUGCACCUUCUGGGUGUCAUCUUUGAGGAGAAAGAAAAACGGUGGAAUGAUUAAACACAGAGUGCUCUUCUGUGCGGUUGAAAGUGAGUCUCCCUCCACCUCGGAUGAGGCUGCAGGAGCAGAGGCUGAAGAUGAACCUGUAGCAGACCAUGGACCUGCCGUCUCCUGUGCCAUCAGAUUAAACUUCCUGUCUCUGCACGCCAGAUAAAAAAUAUUUUCACCUUCAGCACAUUCUAACAUAAAUGUACAGAUGGUCAUUUUUGCUCACAAGAUUAUAAGAUAGAUGUGUGUCUAAAUGUGUCUGUACAAACAGGCCAAUAGCUUACCUUAGAUUGUCUGGGAAAGGCAUGCGCUGCAUGGAGGGAAUAUUUCGAGCCAUAUCAGGCCCCGAUCCAGGACAAAUUUGAGACUGUGAAAACUCCUGUUUGGGUUCCAUCAGACCAUUCAUCAUGGGUAUCCGUGAAGCCAUUCCUGUACAAAAAUGCAACAAUAUGCAUGACAAAGUGCAAACAAUACACUAUCUGAGACAGAUGUUGGCCUUCAAGAUUUACAUUUUUUUUAUGUAGGUAAAGACAAAGACAUUUGUAAUUAAACUGCUUAGUAUUUGUGUUUUCAAAGUAUGUUCAAUACAAAGUUCAAUACAAAUAAAACUCUAUUGACAACAUC